GUGCUGGCAUCGGCAGCCCAUAUACUAAAAUUGGACGGAUACAGAGAAGAUUGGCGUGGCCCCUGCACAGAGAUGACGUGCAAACUGGCAAAUUCCCCUAACAGUC
ensembl:snRNA U6 U6 spliceosomal RNA